UUCCGGUUGAUCCUGCCGGACCUGACUGCUAUCGGAUUGAUACUAAGCCAUGCGAGUCAUUGUAGCAAUACAAGGCAUACGGCUCAGUAACGCGUAGUCAACCUACCCUAUGGACGGAAAUAACCUCGGGAAACUGAGAAUAAUAUCCGAUAGAACAUUAUGCCUGGAAUGGUUUAUGUUCCAAAUGAUUUAUCGCCGUAGGAUGGGACUGCGGCCUAUCAGUUUGUUGGUGAGGUAAUGGCCCACCAAGACUAUUACAGGUACGGGCUCUGAGAGGAGUAGCCCGGAGAUGGGUACUGAGACACGGACCCAGGCCCUAUGGGGCGCAGCAGGCGAGAAAACUUUGCAAUGUGCGAAAGCACGACAAGGUUAAUCCGAGUGAUUUCUGCUAAAAGAAAUCUUUUGUUAGUCCUAGAAACACUAACGAAUAAGGGGUGGGCAAGUUCUGGUGUCAGCCGCCGCGGUAAAACCAGCACCUCAAGUGGUCAGGAUGAUUAUUGGGCCUAAAGCAUCCGUAGCCGGCUCUGUAAGUCCUCGGUUAAAUCUGUACGCUUAACGUACAGGCUGCCGGGAAUACUGCAUAGCUAGGGAGUGAGAGAGGUAGACGGUACUCGGUAGGAAGGGGUAAAAUCCUUUGAUCUAUUGAUGACCACCUGUGGCGAAGGCGGUCUACCAGAACACGUCCGACGGUGAGGGAUGAAAGCUGGGGGAGCAAACCGGAUUAGAUACCCGGGUAGUCCCAGCUGUAAACUAUGCAAACUCAGUGAUGCAUUGGCUUGUGGCCAAUGCAGUGCUGCAGGGAAGCCGUUAAGUUUGCCGCCUGGGAAGUACGUACGCAAGUAUGAAACUUAAAGGAAUUGGCGGGGGAGCACCACAA
rnacentral:rRNA from 2 species